CAGGUGCUGCAUGGCUGUCGUCAGCGUCGUGUCGUGAGAUGUUGGGUUAAGUCCCGCAACGAGCGCAACCCCUGCACUCCAGUUGUCCAUCGGGCGAGCCGGGCACUCUGGAGGGACUGCCGGCGACAAGCCGGAGGAAGGUGGGGAUGGCGUCAAGUCAUCAUGGCCCUUAUGUCCAGGGCGACACACGUGCUACAAUGGCCGGCACAGCGGGAAGCGGAGGGCGACCCUGAGCGGAUCCCUUGAAAGCCGGUCCCAGUUCGGAUUGCAGUCUGCAACUCGACUGCAUGAAGUUGGAAUCGCUAGUAAUCGCGGAUCAGCCAAGCCGCGGUGAAUACGUUCCCGGGCCUU
rnacentral:rRNA from 1 species